GGGCCCGCACAAGCAGUGGAGCGUGUGGUUUAAUUCGACGCAACGCGCAGAACCUUACCAGGGCUUGACAUCAUGGUGCCAGCCGUGGAAACACGGUCUUCCGUAGCGAUACGGACGCCAUGACAGGUGUUGCAUGGUUGUCGUCAGCUCGUGUCGUGAGAUGUUGGGUUAAGUCCCGCAACGAGCGCAACCCCUAUCUGGUGUUGCCAACGGGUAAAGCCGGGGACUCACCAGAGACUGCCGGAGACGAUCUGGAGGAAGGUGGGGAUGAUGUCAAAUCAUCAUGGCCCUUAUGCCCUGGGCCACACACGCGCUACAAUGGCCGGUACAGCGGGCAGCUAAGGAGCAAUCCGGAGCGAAUCCCAAAAAGCCGGUCUCAGUUGGGAUCGGGGGCUGAAACUCGUCCCCGUGAACACGGAAUUGCUAGUAAUCGCGGAUCAGCCACGCCGCGGUGAAUACGUUCCCGGGCCUU
rnacentral:rRNA from 1 species